rnacentral:lncRNA from 1 species
GAAGCUAAUAAAUCGAAUUGGUAAUGAGGUCUUUAAUCGCACCGCUCCUAAUUGAAUAAAUACAAUGCUUCAGUAAAAAUCCUACGAUAACUUAAACUAAAAUCCUAUAAACGAAUCUAUAUAAAUCGUUAAAAAUAUAUAUAGCCUAAUUGAUUAAACUAAAGUUAGAAAAAUUAAAAGUUUCAAACUUUUAAAAUUGAUUAAACUAAUUCUUUACAACACCACCCGAAACCUCGUUACCAUAAAUGAAAACUAAAUUAAAAAAACAAAAUUACAUCAUUCCUAUAUCUACUGCAAGAUGAAUUUAAGGUAUGAAAAAUAAAACCAAC